rnacentral:rRNA from 1 species
CCUACGGGAGGCAGCAGUGGGGAAUCUUCCACAAUGGACGAAAGUCUGAUGGAGCAACGCCGCGUGAGUGAAGAAGGGUUUCGGCUUGUAAAGCUCUGUUGGUAGUGAAGAAAGAUAGAGGUAGUAACUGGCCUUUAUUUGACGGUAAUUACUUAGAAAGUCACGGCUAACUACGUGCCAGCAGCCGCGGUAAUACGUAGGUGGCAAGCGUUGUCCGGAUUUAUUGGGCGUAAAGCGAGUGCAGGCGGUUCCAUAAGGCUGGUGUGAAAGCCGUCGGGUCCACCGGGGAAAU